AAUGAACGCUGGCGGCGCGCCUAAUACAUGCAAGUCGAGCGAGAAGACGUAGCAAUACGUUUGUAAAGCGGCGAACGGGUGAGGAAUACAUGGGUAACCUACCCUCGAGUGGGGAAUAACUAGCCGAAAGGUUAGCUAAUACCGCGUACGCUCCUUGGACUUCGGUUCAGGGAGGAAAGCGAUACCGUGGGUAUCGCGCUCUUGGUUGGGCUCAUGUCCUAUCAGCUUGUUGGUGAGGUAACGGCUCACCAAGGCUUCGACGGGUAGCUGGUCUGAGAGGACGAUCAGCCACACUGGCACUGCGACACGGGCCAGACUCCUACGGGAGGCAGCAGUAAGGAAUAUUGCGCAAUGGGCGAAAGCCUGAUGCAGCAAUGCCGCGUGUGUGAAGAAGGCCUGCGGGUUGUAAAGCACUUUCGGUAGGGAAGAUUAU
rnacentral:rRNA from 1 species